rnacentral:rRNA from 1 species
UACGUAGGUGGCAAGCGUUGUCCGGAUUUAUUGGGUUUAAAGGGUGCGUAGGCGGCCCUGUAAGUCAGUGGUGAAAUACUCUAGCUUAACUAGAGGGGUGCCAAUGAUACUGCAGGGCUUGAGUACAGAUGAGGUAGGCGGAAUUGACGGUGUAGCGGUGAAAUGCAUAGAUAUCGUCAAGAACACCGAUAGCGAAGGCAGCUUACUGGGCUGUAACUGACGCUGAUGCACGAAAGUGUGGGGAUCAAACAGG